ACACAGUCUCAGUGACUCGAGUCCAACCUCGGACCUUUUCAGCUUUGAAAGUUAGGUCCAAGGUUGGACUCGAGUCUUCACUACUGUUAUCGUCGGAUAACCGCUAGGGGGGGACGUUAGAAAAUCCGUCAAGCAAUUUUCACGCCAUUAUCGUGAUAUUAUUGUUUUUAAACGAUUAAUCGAAAUUCCAGGGAUGUAAUUAAUCAAUGUUAAUGAUAUAUUUUGUGGGUGGAAUUUUAAGGGCUUCAAGCUUGUGAUUUAACAUUAGCUUUCCCUUUCAUAUAAAAUUUCAGAAAAGUCGUUUGGUACUACCGUUUAGUUCCACCCGAUUUGUUAUUGUUUGUCAGUGGUUUCUCAAAACAUUGAAAUUCAAAAUUGUGUGGUUUUUUUUUUUGCUAAUCUGGGACAUUGGUUCAACAUAAAAGAACUGAGAUGGAGGAAGACGAGGAAUCGCGAUCUCGUAAAUUAGUGAAAGAAUUUUUAGCAAGUUUAAAGAAAAGCGAAAAUUCCCGGAAGAAUAAGGAAAGACGAGAAUCUAAACGAAAGGAAGCUGGAUAUCCAAGCAAACGACCAAAAUGCUUUGUAAAAUUGGACGGUGUUAAGGUGAAAUUGACAAUAAAUAUGAAGAAAGGUAGUGGAUACCAAACAGAGGCUGGAUGCUGAGCAACUGUCAGGUGUCAAAAUACUAGCAAUUUAUAAUAAUUACAAUUCAAAUUCAAAUUCUCACAUUUCAAUUCUCAAAUUACAAUUCUCACAUUACAAUUCUCAAAUUGCAAUUCUCACCUCAAAUUUAAUCUCCUCUCAUGGAAUUUACUCCACAACAAAGUGCUUCAACAUCCCGUCUGAAAUUAUGCAAAGAGUAUUUCCCAAUGUCCCCUGAUAUUUUCCUAAUUCACCUGUCCGAUGUUAAAAGUGAAGCCAUAAUUGUUUAUAUUCCUCACAGUCGGACUAAGUGUUCCGAAGAAGAACUCUGCAACAAAGUGAAGAAAAUGUGGGAAGAAAAGAACAAAGUUGAGGCCCAGAGAGCUACAAUUGUCAAGCAACCUGCACUCCUGCAGCAAUCAAACGUGUAGACUGUUUUUAAAAGUAUUGAUUAUUGGAAUGUCAUGAUGCAAAUACAUUUCAAAUUUUAAAACAA